GAGUUUAUCCUGGUCAGGACGAACGCGGCGGCGUGCUUAACACAUGCAAGUCGAGCGGAAAGGCCCUUCGGGGUACUCGAGCGGCGAACGGGUGAGUAACACGUUAGUAACCUGCCCCUGACUCUGGGAUAAGCCUGGGAAACUGGGUCUAAUACCGGAUACGACCAUUUCUCGCAUGGGAUGGUGGUGGAAAGUUUUUUCGGUUGGGGAUGGGCUCGCGGCCUAUCAGCUUGUUGGUGGGGUGAUGGCCUACCAAGGCGACGACGGGUAGCCGGCCUGAGAGGGCGACCGGCCACACUGGGACUGAGACACGGCCCAGACUCCUACGGGAGGCAGCAGUGGGGAAUAUUGCACAAUGGGCGAAAGCCUGAUGCAGCAACGCCGCGUGGGAGAACCGGCUUCGGGUUGUAAACCUCUUUCAGCAGGGACGAAGUUGACGUGUACCUGUAGAAGAAGCACCGGCUAACUACGUGCCAGCAGCCGCGGUAAUACGUAGGGUGCGAGCGUUGUCCGGAAUUAUUGGGCGUAAAGAGCUCGUAGGCGGCUUGUUGCGUCUGCCGUGAAAGCCCGUGGCUUAACUACGGGUCUGCGGUGGAUACGGGCUGGCUAGAGGUAGGUAGGGGCAAGCGGAAUUCCUGGUGUAGCGGUGAAAUGCGCAGAUAUCAGGAGGAACACCGGUGGCGAAGGCGGCUUGCUGGGCCUUACCUGACGCUGAGGAGCGAAAGCGUGGGGAGCGAACAGGAUUAGAUACCCUGGUAGUCCACGCUGUAAACGUUGGGCGCUAGGUGUGUGGUCCUUCCACGGGUUCCGUGCCGUAGCUAACGCAUUAAGCGCCCCGCCUGGGGAGUACGGCCGCAAGGCUAAAACUCAAAGGAAUUGACGGGGGCCCGCCCAAGCGGCGGAGCAUGUGGCUUAAUUCGACGCAACGCGAAGAACCUUACCAAGGUUUGACAUACACCGGAAACACUCAGAGAUGGGUGCCUCCUUUGGACUGGUGUACAGGUGGUGCAUGGCUGUCGUCAGCUCGUGUCGUGAGAUGUUGGGUUAAGUCCCGCAACGAGCGCAACCCUUGUUCCAUGUUGCCAGCACGCCCUUUGGGGUGGUGGGGACUCAUGGGAGACUGCCGGGGUCAACUCGGAGGAAGGUGGGGAUGACGUCAAGUCAUCAUGCCCCUUAUGUCUUGGGCUGCAAACAUGCUACAAUGGCCGGUACAGAGGGUUGCGAUGCCGUGAGGUGGAGCGAAUCCCUAAAAGCCGGUCUCAGUUCGGAUUGGGGUCUGCAACUCGACCCCAUAAUCGGAGUAUCCUGAAUCGCAGACAGCAACGUGCGCGUAAAUGCUCGUU
rnacentral:rRNA from 1 species